UAGAGUUUGAUCCUGGCUCAGAUUGAACGCUGGCGGCAUGCCUUACACAUGCAAGUCGAACGGCAGCACGGGGGCAACCCUGGUGGCGAGUGGCGAACGGGUGAGUAAUGCAUCGGAACGUACCCAGUAGUGGGGGAUAACUCGGCGAAAGUCGGGCUAAUACCGCAUACGCACUGAGGUGGAAAGCGGGGGACCUUCGGGCCUCGCGCUAUUGGAGCGGCCGAUGUCGGAUUAGCUAGUUGGUGGGGUAAAGGCCUACCAAGGCGACGAUCCGUACCUGGUCUGAGAGGACGACCAGGCACACUGGGACUGAGACACGGCCCAGACUCCUACGGGAGGCAGCAGUGGGGAAUUUUGGACAAUGGGCGCAAGCCUGAUCCAGCAAUGCCGCGUGUGUGAAGAAGGCCUUCGGGUUGUAAAGCACUUUUGUCCGGAAAGAAAUCUCCUGGGUUAAUACCUCGGGGGGAUGACGGUACCGGAAGAAUAAGCACCGGCUAACUACGUGCCAGCAGCCGCGGUAAUACGUAGGGUGCGAGCGUUA
rnacentral:rRNA from 1 species